GACAGAGGGUGCAAACGUUGCUCGGAAUCAUUGGGCGUAAAGCGCGUGUAGGCGGCUUGUUACGUCGGGUGUGAAAGCCCGGGGCUCAACCCCGGCAGUGCACCCCGAAACGGGGAAGCUAGAGAGCUGGAGAGGCGAGUGGAAUUCCUGGUGUAGAGGUGAAAUUCGUAGAUAUCAGGAGGAACACCGGUGGCGAAGGCGACUCGCUGGCCAGCAACUGACGCUGAGACGCGAAAGCGUGGGGAGCAAACAGG
rnacentral:rRNA from 1 species